rnacentral:rRNA from 1 species
AGAACGAACGCUGGCGGCACGCCUAACACAUGCAAGUCGAGCGCCCAGCAAUGGGAGCGGCGGACGGGUGAGUAACACGUGGGAAUAUGCCUUUCGGUACGGAACAACUCAGGGAAACUUGAGCUAAUGCCGUAUACGCCCUUACGGGGAAAGAUUUAUCGCCGAAAGAUUAGCCCGCGUCUGAUUAGCUAGUUGGUGAGGUAAUGGCUCACCAAGGCUUCGAUCAGUAGCUGGUUUGAGAGAACGACCAGCCACACUGGGACUGAGACACGGCCCAGACUCCUACGGGAGGCAGCAGUGGGGAAUCUGGACAAUGGGGGAAACCCUGAUCCAGCGAUGCCGCGUGAGUGAUGAAGGCCUUCGGGUUGUAAAACUCUUUCGACGGGACGAUAAUGACGGUACCCGUAGAAGAAGCUCCGGCUAACUUCGCGCCAGCAGCCGC